UGGGGAAUUUUGCACAAUGGGGGAAACCCUGAUGCAGCGACGCCGCGUGAUUUAGAAGGCCUUCGGGUUGUAAAAAUCUUUUCUAUGGGAAGAAAAUGAAAGUACCAUAGGAAUAAGGACCGGCUAAUUACGUGCCAGCAGCCGCGGUAAUACGUAAGGUCCGAGCGUUGUCCGGAAUCAUUGGGCGUAAAGGGUACGUAGGCGGGUAAGCAAGUUAGAAGUGAAAUCCUAUAGCUCAACUAUAGUAAGCUUUUAAAACUGCUCAUCUUGAGGUAUCGAAGGGAAAGUGGAAUUCCUAGUGUAGCGGUGAAAUGCGCAGAUAUUAGGAGGAAUACCGGUGGCGAAGGCGACUUUCUGGCCAUAACCUGACGCUGAGGUACGAAAGCGUGGGUAGCAAACAGGA
rnacentral:rRNA from 1 species